rfam:Oryza sativa (indica cultivar-group) chromosome 8, whole genome shotgun sequence.
AAAAAGGCAAACCCUGGAUUUCCGUGUCUAACUUUGAUUGUCCGUCUUAUAUGAAUUUUUUUUAUAAUUCGUAUUUUUAUUGUUGUUAGAUGAUAAAACAUGAUUAAUAUUUUAUACAUGACUUGUCUUUUUAAUUUUUUUCAUAACUUUUUCAAAUAAAACAGACGGUCAAACGUUGGGCACAGAAACCAGGGUUUGUCUUUUU